UGCAAUGAAGAAUACAUAUCUCGUUAAUCCGAUCACUUAUGAGGAUAAUUUGUAUCCAUUCUUAACAAGAUUCUGAGC